rnacentral:rRNA from 1 species
AACGAACGCUGGCGGCAGGCCUAACACAUGCAAGUCGAACGCUCCGCAAGGGGAGUGGCGCACGGGUGAGUAACGCGUGGGAAUCUACCUAUUAGUAAGGAAUAACAGUUGGAAACGACUGCUAAUACCUUAUAGGCCAUACGGGGGAAAGAUUUAUCGCUAAUAGAUGAGCCCGCGUAAGAUUAGCUAGUUGGUGAGGUAAUGGCUCACCAAGGCUACGAUCUUUAGCUGGUCUGAGAGGAUGAUCAGCCACACUGGAACUGAGACACGGUCCAGACUCCUACGGGAGGCAGCAGUGGGGAAUAUUGGACAAUGGGCGAAAGCCUGAUCCAGCCAUGCCGCGUGAAUGAUGAAGGCCUUAGGGUUGUAAAGUUCUUUCGCCGCCGAGGAUAAUGACGGUAAGCGGAUAAGAAGCCCCGGCUAACUUCGUGCCAGCCGCCGCAGUAA